GACGAACCGUCCAAACGUUAUUCGGAAUUACUGGGCUUAAAGGGCGCGUAGGCGGGCUGUCAAGUCUGGGGUGAAAUGCCGCGGCUCAACCGUGGAACUGCCUUAGAUACUGACGGCCUCGAGGAAGGUAGGGGCAUGCGGAACUGUAGGUGGAGCGGUGAAAUGCGUUGAUAUCUACAGGAACUCCGGUGGCGAAAGCGGCGUGCUGGACCUUUUCUGACGCUGAGGCGCGAAAGCUAGGGGAGCAAACGGG
rnacentral:rRNA from 1 species